GACGUAGGGGGCGAACGUUAUCCGGAAUCAUUGGGCGUAAAGGGUGCGUAGGUGGCAUGAUAAGUUAUUAGUGGGAAAUCGAGGCUCAACCUCGUGGAAGCUGGUAAUACUGUUUUGCUUGAGUGCAGGAGAGGUUAACGGAACUCCAUGUGGAGCGGUAAAAUGCGUAGAGAUCGGAAGGAACACCAGUGGCGAAGGCGGCUUCCUGGACAGAUACUGAUGCUGAGGCGCGAGAGCGUGGGGAGCAAACAGG
rnacentral:rRNA from 1 species